rnacentral:lncRNA from 1 species
GUUGGAUGUGAUAGCUUUCAUUGGCAGGCUACAAUUAUAGGACCUCAUUACAGCCUGUAUCAAGGUGGGUGUGUUCUUCUUGACAGUUCAUUUUCAUUCAGACUACUCCUUCAAACCACCUAAGGUUGCAUUUAUUACAAGAAUUUAUCAUCCAAACAUUUAAGUAAUGAGACCAUUGGUCUCAGUAUUCUAAGAUCACUGUGGUCUUCUGCUUUAACAUUUUUGAAGUUAUUUUUACAUCAAUUUGUUCACUGUUAUGUGAUCCAAAUCCAGAAACCCCCUAGUGCUAGAGAUUGCAAGGACCUAUAAAACAGACAAAAUAAUAACAGAAUGUUUUGGAAAUAGACUGAGAAGUACAUCA